rnacentral:ncRNA from 1 species
UUAAGCCGGAUGAAAGGAAACUUUCACGUCCGAUUUUGAAAGGGGGAGAUCCUAUGAGGAUCCUAUCCAAAUUUUUCUUUUGCUAGGCCCAUAGCUAAAAAACCUACUUUCU